rnacentral:rRNA from 1 species
GACGAACGCUGGCGGCGUGCUUAACACAUGCAAGUCGAACGAAGUGGCGAACGGGUGAGUAACGCGUAAUCAACCUGCCCUUCAGAGGGGGACAACAGUUGGAAACGACUGCUAAUACCGCAUACUGAAGGAGGGGAGUGCGUCUGAUGAGCUAGUUGGAGGGGUAACGGCUCACCAAGCCCACGAUGCAUAGCCGAUCUGAGAGGGUGAUCGUCCACACUGGUACUGAAACAAGCCCCAGACUCCUACGGGAGGCAGAAGUAGGGAAUCUGCGGCAAUGGACGAAAGUCUGACCGAGCAACGCCGCGUGAGUGAUGACGGCCUUCGGGUUGUAAAGCUCUGUUAAUCGGGACGCGGUACCGGAAUAGAAAGCCACGGCUAACUACGUGCCAGCAGCCGCGGUAAUAC